AACUUUGUGCAGAGGCAGUAUUGUAGCCAAUGAGGUUUAGCCAAGGCACAAUUACUGUUAGUUGAAAACUUUUCCCAACACAAUCCACCAAAAACUGAACUACAACAUACUAGAAUUUGUGGGAUGCUAUGAAAGCAGUUCUUACAG
ensembl:snRNA U4 U4 spliceosomal RNA